AUGAUGAAGUUCUGGUUGCUG
rnacentral:misc_RNA from 1 species